rnacentral:rRNA from 1 species
AUUGAACGCUGGCGGCAUGCCUUACACAUGCAAGUCGAACGGCAGCACGGGUGCUUGCACCUGGUGGCGAGUGGCGAACGGGUGAGUAAUAUAUCGGAACGUACCUUAUUGUGGGGGAUAACGCAGCGAAAGCUGUGCUAAUACCGCAUAAUCCCUUAGGGGGAAAGCGGGGGACCGUAAGGCCUCGCGCAAUUAGAGCGGCCGAUACCUGAUUAGCUAGUUGGUGAGGUAAAGGCUCACCAAGGCAACGAUCAGUAGCUGGUCUGAGAGGACGAUCAGCCACACUGGGACUGAGACACGGCCCAGACUCCUACGGGAGGCAGCAGUGGGGAAUUUUGGACAAUGGGCGAAAGCCUGAUCCAGCCAUGCCGCGUGAGUGAAGAAGGCC